rnacentral:tRNA from 1 species
GGAGGGAUUCCCGAGUGGCCAAAGGGGGCGGACUGUAAAUCCGUUGCGUUACGCUUCGAAGGUUCAACUCCUUCUCCCUCCACCA